rnacentral:rRNA from 1 species
AUUGGAGCGCAAAUUGGGUGGUAAAUUUCAUCUCAAGCUAAAUAUGGGUUCGAAACCGAUAGCAAACAAGUACCAUGAGGGAAAGAUGAAAAGGACUUUGAAAAGAGAGUUAAAAGUGCCUGAACUCGCUGAAAGGAAAGCGGAUGGAACCAGUGUUGCUUGAUGAGAUUGUUGUAUGCUAUGGUGAUUGCUUGUCGCAUUAACGCAAGUGGUGUUGCGAGUUUUGAUCCGGAUGCAUGCGAUGCUUCUUGCCUUGUGUGUCACCGUCGGUUUGGAGGCGAGGACAACUCUUGGGACAUGGUAGCUCGAUCCUGGUUGAGUGAAUGUGCCUUGUAGAACUCAUUUUUAAACCGCAAAUGUAUUGUGAGGUUGUGAUGCCUUGAUGAACAUCCGUUUUGCUUGCAAAUCUGGUGUACAAGUGAGGCACCUUCCUGACAUGUUCAUGGUGACUAAAUGGUUUUAUUCGACCCGUCUUGAAACACGG